CAAGAAUGAGGAAAUAAAUUCUAUACAGAAGACACUCCAGAGGUCUCUUCUAUGAGGCUGACCCAAAAAUCAAGGAAGAGGACAUCCAUCCUGAUUACUAGAGAAACAUUUUCAUUUUUAGGAAAACUUGAAGAUAAUUCCCUAAAGGACCUUGUCUUCUAAGCCAUGUGAGCUAUAUAAGGAAAUGCAUGAGAAAUGCUUCAACAAAGGUAAUUUGUUCUUUAUGGAACUAUGUAGUUUUAUGAAUUUAACAUGAGUCUUUACUAUGGACACUGAGGGCUUCAUAAAACACCAUCUGACCAUUAGUUCAGCACUCUCCACAACAGGGCAAGGAGUGGGAGGGAAUGACUCAAAGCUUUCAGCCUUUUUCACUAUAAGAAAUGAAGGAGAGAGGAGAAGAUGGAGAGUGAUCAAGCAUAACAAAGCUUCUCUACUUGUGAGGUCAUUUUCAAAGGCUGAGAGAGAGAACUCCAGUAAACAUCAGCCAAACAAGGUGGCUGAUUGGUGUUUUGACUGUAGGAGGAAUUUCUAAGCAUCUCUCUCACUAAAUGUUGUUGCAUCUGCAAUCUUCCAGCUCCAGCAAGCUCUCAGGAAUGUGACUUCAGGCUCCAUGCUCAUCAACUAACAGAGUUUUAUCAUCUUUUUCUUUGCUUCCUCUGUCAUUAUCAAGAAGUUUUGUUACAUACCUGUCAAAAGUAGGGUACAUUCUAUUUUGUGUUCUUUUCAAGUAAUAAAAAUGAAUGAGUUUUAGUAGAUCAAUAAAUGAAUUAUAAAAAU